rnacentral:lncRNA from 1 species
AGAUGGUGUAUGCCUGAGCAACAAAGCAGAGACAGAGAGGUAUCCCUGAGAAUAAGUGCAUCACCUUUGUGUGUUCAUGAGGAAUGUGGGCAAAUCCGAGGUGCUGUAGAAACUCUGACUGGAACAACUCAGAGGCAACCCACAUAUCCAUGGGUUCAGCUCCUGCAGUGGUUUAAAAGCAGCUGCUUUUUUUUCCUUCAGCAUUCUGACAUUGCGGCUCACGACAAGUGGUGCCCGAACAGGGACCUGAGUGAGAGGGACAUCGAGGAGAGCGCCCUGCCAUCCAGGGCACUACAACCUGAACCGCGACUGAUCCCCUUGGCUCCUGCCGGUGAGUGACAGGGGACUAUAGUCCUGAUCAUGGCAAUAGAGGGAAAUGUUGUAGAAGAGGGUGCCGCCGAUGAGAGACAGGGGACGAUAGUCCUGAUCACGGCUGUAAGUAAGCGCAUGCUGAUGAGAGACAGGGGGCAAUAUUCCUGAUCACGGCCAUAAAGAAAGUACCUGCCGGUGAGAGACAGGGGACGGUAGUCCUGAUCACAGCCAAAAAAAAAAAAAAAAAAAAAAAGGAACGGGCUGCUGGUGAGAGACAGGGGACCUUAGUCCUGAUCACAGCAGUAGAAGUAAGGGCCACCGACGAGAGACAGGGGACGUUAGUCCUGAUCACGGCAGUAGUAACAAGGGGUGUAAGCCCUCAAAUUCUUAGUUAAAGUAUGGGUCAAAUGGAAUCUAGAGGUUAUGUAGGCAACUCUAUACAAAAGGUGCUAAAAGUACAAGGGGUUAGAGUUAAGAAGGCUCAAUUGGAAGCAUUUGUGAAAAUAUUGGGUGGUUUGUCCAUGGUUGUGUGGAUGAGGCUGAAAUAAAUCUAGAAGUCUGGGGAAGAGUAGGUAAACAGCUGCAGAAGGCCCUUGUGGCUGAGCCCGAUCAUUUUCCAGAAAGC